rnacentral:rRNA from 1 species
AUGAACGCUAGCGACAGGCUUAACACAUGCAAGUCGAGGGGCAGCAUGAUUUGUAGCAAUACAGAUUGAUGGCGACCGGCGCACGGGUGAGUAACGCGUAUGCAACUUACCUAUCAGAGGGGGAUAGCCCGGCGAAAGUCGGAUUAAUACCCCAUAAAACAGGGGUCCCGCAUGGGAUAUUUGUUAAAGAUUCAUCGCUGAUAGAUAGGCAUGCGUUCCAUUAGGCAGUUGGCGGGGUAACGGCCCACCAAACCGACGAUGGAUAGGGGUUCUGAGAGGAAGGUCCCCCACAUUGGUACUGAGACACGGACCAAACUCCUACGGGAGGCAGCAGUGAGGAAUAUUGGUCAAUGGCCGAGAGGCUGAACCAGCCAAGUCGCGUGAAGGAAGAAGGAUCUAUGGUUUGUAAACUUCUUUUAUAGGGGAAUAAAGUGGAGGACGUGUCCUUUUUUGUAUGUACCCUAUGAAUAAGCAUCGGCUAACUCCGUGCCAGCAGCCGCGGUAAUACGGAGGAUGCGAGCGUUAUCCGGAUUUAUUGGGUUUAAAGGGUGCGUAGGUGGUGAUUUAAGUCAGCGGUGAAAGUUUGUGGCUCAACCAUAAAAUUGCCGUUGAAACUGGGUUACUUGAGUGUGUUUGAGGUAGGCGGAAUGCGUGGUGUAGCGGUGAAAUGCAUAGAUAUCACGCAGAACUCCGAUUGCGAAGGCAGCUUACUAAACCAUAACUGACACUGAAGCACGAAAGCGUGGGUAUCAAACAGGAUUAGAUACCCUGGUAGUCCACGCCGUAAACGAUGGAUACUAGAUGCGGGGAGUAUCGACUCUUUCCGUGUCGGAGCAAACGCAAUAAGUAUCCCGCCUGGGGAGUACGGCCGCAAGGUUGAAACUCAAAGGAAUUGACGGGGGCCCGCACAAGCGGAGGAACAUGUGGUUUAAUUCGAUGAUACGCGAGGAACCUUACCCGGGUUUGAACGUAGUCUGACCGGAGUGGAAACACUCUUUCUAGCAAUAGCAGAUUACGAGGUGCUGCAUGGUUGUCGUAAGCUCGUGCAGUCAGGUGUCGGCUUAAGUGCUAUAACGAGCGCAACCCUUAUCACUAGUUACUAACAGGUGAAGCUGAGGACUCUGGUGAGACUGCCAGCGUAAGCUGUGAGGAAGGUGGGGAUGACGUCAAAUCAGCACGGCCCUUACAUCCGGGGCGACACACGUGUUACAAUGGCAUGGACAAAGGGCAGCUACCUGGUGACAGGAUGCUAAUCUCCAAACCAUGUCUCAGUUCGGAUCGGAGUCUGCAACUCGACUCCGUGAAGCUGGAUUCGCUAGUAAUCGCGCAUCAGCCAUGGCGCGGUGAAUACGUUCCCGGGCCUUGUACACACCGCCCGUCAAGCCAUGGGAGCCGGGGGUACCUGAAGUCCGUAACCGCAAGGAUCGGCCUAGGGUAAAACUGGUGACUGGGGCU